GACGAAGGAUGCAAGCGUUAUCCGGAUUCAUUGGGUUUAAAGGGAGCGUAGGUGGCCUUAUAAGUCAGUGGUGAAAUCUCUGGGCUUAACCCAGAAAUUGCCAUUGAUACUGUAGGGCUUGAGUAUAGUUGCCGUUGGCGGAAUAUGACAUGUAGUGGUGAAAUACAUAGAGAUGUCAUAGAACACCGAUUGCGAAGGCAGCUAACGAAAACUAUAACUGACACUGAGGCUCGAAAGUGCGGGGAUCAAACAGG
rnacentral:rRNA from 1 species